UCAGCAUGGCAGCAAACGCAAGGGAAAGUUCGAGUGGCCGCUCCAGACUUCAACAUCGACAAUGAUGUGGAAUGCAUUGGAGAGCAAUGACGCCAAACCUAGCCGAGUUUGAGCAUGAAGAGGAAACUGAGCAGGACAGAGAAGGCUGGACCCCACUGAACUAUGUAGAACAGUAUAUAGAUAAAGAAUUGAUGAAAAUGAUUGCAGAUUGCUCUAUUGCUAUGCCACUGGCUAGGAAUGGGGACCUACUCACAGUUGAUGAGAUUUACAAAUGUUUGGUGCCUGUAUUUUGUUGUCCUGCGUCUGAUACCCAAAAAUCAGGAUGUACUGGUCUAAAGCCGGUACAUCCUGAUUUAAUAAAUGCAAAAGCACUCAAGACAAGCACUGCUGUGUUCAGGGUGGAAAUAAAGAGUUUUACACUAUUA